GUCCAGAAUAGGCAAAUCCAUAGAGACAGAAAGUAAAUUAGUGAUUUCUAAGGGUUGGGAGGGGGAAAUGGGAAAUGACUGCUAAUGGAAAUGGAGUUUCUUUUUGGGAGUGAUAAAAAUAUUCUAGAAUUUGCGAGUGUUGAUGAAUGCACAACUCUGUGAACAUACUAAAAAUACUGAAUUGUACAUUUUUUAAGGGUGAACUUUAUGGUAUGUCAAUUAUAUCUCGAUAAAGCAGUUAUGAAAAAUUCAAAAAACAAAUGCCUCCCAUAAUUAUAAUUGUUUUAAAAGAUCCCAGAGUUACUAUAUAACUAAGAACCUACUUUCAAACAUAUAUAUGACCAAUUUGUUGAAAGAAAGACUAUUCUUAAUCUAAUUAGAGCUCCAUUUUUUUUUGGCAGUCAUUUAAGCAAAACGUAAGUGAAGAGUCUAACCCCCAGGAGGACUUCAUAAGAGCAGUAUCGCCACCUGUGUCUUGGUACCAGCAUAUCCAGCUGGACUACACACAUUACAGAAUAUAUUUGUCAGAAGCGACCUUCGGGAAGGAAGCAAAAAGCCACCGGCCUGAAGAUCGGGCGGGAGACUCGACAUCCCACCCGCGGCCGCGCCGCCCUUCGUGCCCCCAGUCCGGCAGCCCCGAAACUCCUUCGGGGUCCCCGAUCCCCCGCACCUGCUGAGCCAGACACUUCGCGGACCUGAUCUCCGUUUACCCAUCUGUAAAAUGGGACAGCUUGGCGCUUGCAAGCCGUAAGUCCAGAGCUUUGGGUCAAUUAAUGUGUACAACGUUCAUUUCCUUUCUCUCCUCUCACCACCUUUUAAAAAGCCUGUAAGCAAAAAAAACCUGGCGAGACCUCAGGGAAAACGUGAAACAGCCUUGAAGGUGGGUCACGGUAACAAGUUCCGGACUGUGCACGUGUUGCUUCUCUUCUGCCCUCUGGCUC
rnacentral:lncRNA from 1 species